UGGGGAAUUUUGGACAAUGGGGGCAACCCUGAUCCAGCAAUGCCGCGUGUGUGAAGAAGGCCUUCGGGUUGUAAAGCACUUUUGUCCGGAAAGAAAACGCCGUGGUUAAUACCCGUGGCGGAUGACGGUACCGGAAGAAUAAGCACCGGCUAACUACGUGCCAGCAGCCGCGGUAAUACGUAGGGUGCAAGCGUUAAUCGGAAUUACUGGGCGUAAAGCGUGCGCAGGCGGUCCGCUAAGACAGAUGUGAAAUCCCCGGGCUUAACCUGGGAACUGCAUUUGUGACUGGCGGGCUAGAGUAUGGCAGAGGGGGGUAGAAUUCCACGUGUAGCAGUGAAAUGCGUAGAGAUGUGGAGGAAUACCGAUGGCGAAGGCAGCCCCCUGGGCCAAUACUGACGCUCAUGCACGAAAGCGUGGGGAGCAAACAGGAUUAGAUACCCUGGUAGUCCACGCCCUAAACGAUGUCAACUAGUUGUCGGGUCUUCAUUGACUUGGUACGUAGCUAACGCGUGAAGUUGACCGCCU
rnacentral:rRNA from 1 species